CCAACGGCCUUUUCAGGGCCACAAAAAAAUCCACUCAAGAGUUAU
rfam:Aedes albopictus isolate Foshan contig73106, whole genome shotgun sequence.